CACAACGGCUUCGCUGAAGUGAUUCACCGGACGAACCACUUUAUUAUAUCCACUAAAAAGAGUCUUCACCAGCCGAGUCUCAUCUUCUGAGCACAACACCGGACCUGAAACAGAACCAGAGCUGAGGAACAUUUUCCCACCGAAGCUGAAAUCACAGCUGCAGAUUCCAGUGAUCCACUCGGCCGCCGUUUGAAACCUGAAUCCAUCGGAGGAGGACGGUGGAGCUGAGAUUCCUGGCUGGUGAGAAGCUUCUAACCAGCUGUGCUAAGCUAUUUUGAGCUAACGGCUUCAGCAGGUCACAACAGUUAACCUGCAUUUAACACCUGCUCCUAUAAAAGGUGCUUCCAGCUAACGGGGUGGAAGUGAUGUCCCAUCUGUGACAGUCCGUUACAUUUCUGUCAUUUGAUUUCUGCUUUAACAGCUGCAGCGAAUCACAGAUCAGCAAUAAAAUACUUUCAAAAUGGAAGCGGUGAAAAAAUAAAUAUAGUCGUUUUGUGUUUUAUGAAACUUCACAUCAUGAUGCUGCCUCCACCGUGCUUCAAUUAUGAUGCUGCCUCCACCGUGCUUCAAUUAUGAUGCUGCCUCCACCGUGCUUCACAUCAUGAUGCUGCCUCCACCGUGCUUCACAUCAUGAUGCUGCCUCCACCGUGCUUCACAUCAUGAUGCUGCCACCACCAUGCUUCACAUCAUGAUGCUGCCUCCACCGUGCUUCAAUUAUGAUGCUGCCUCCACCAUGCUUCAAUUAUGAUGCUGCCUCCACCGUGCUUCACAUCAUGAUGCUGCCUCCACCAUGCUUCACAUCAUGAUGCUGCCUCCACCGUGCUUCACAUCAUGAUGCUGCCUCCACCGUGCUUCACAUCAUGAUGCUGCCACCACCAUGCUUCAAUUAUGAUGCUGCCUCCACCGUGCUUCACAUCAUGAUGCUGCCUCCACCAUGCUUCACAGUGAGGAUGGUGUGUUUGUGAUGAUGUUCAGUGUUUGGUGUCCAUCAAACAUAUCAUCUAGUCUGAUGGACAUAAAGCUCCAUCCUGGUCUCCUCAGACCAAAGAACCUUCUUCCGGGUGUCUUCAGAGUCUCCACAUGUCUUCUGGUGAACUCUAGUCCACAUUUAAUUGGAGCUUUUUCCAUCAGAGUCUUUCUCUUUGUCUCUAUAAAGCUUUGACUGGUGAAGAACUGGAUGAACAGUCUCUAACAUCUCAGCUGCUGAAGCUGGAACUCCUUCAGAGGAGUCAUAGAGUCUUGGUGGCCUCCAUCACUAGUCUCAGUUUCUCAGACUUCUCUUGUAGAUCAAUCAAGGAAAAUCAGUUUUCUUUCAGCAGCUAAUAAAAUUUGCAUCUUG